rnacentral:rRNA from 1 species
AACGAACGCUGGCGGCAGGCCUAACACAUGCAAGUCGAACGCUGUAGCAAUACAGAGUGGCAGACGGGUGAGUAACGCGUGGGAACCUUCCAGUGGUGCGGAAUAGCUCAGGGAAACUUGAGGUAAUACCGCAUAAGGCCCCUAGGGGAAGAUUUAUCGCCAAUUGGAUGGGCCCGCGUCGGAUUAGCUAGUUGGUGAGGUAAUGGCUCACCAAGGCAACGAUCCGUAGCNGGUUUGAGAGAAUGACCAGCCACACUGGGACUGAGACACGG